rnacentral:rRNA from 1 species
AUUGAACGCUGGCGGCAUGCCUUACACAUGCAAGUCGAACGGUAACGCGGGGCAACCUGGCGACGAGUGGCGAACGGGUGAGUAAUGCAUCGGAACGUGCCCAUCAGUGGGGGAUAGCCCGGCGAAAGCCGGAUUAAUACCGCAUACGACCUGAGGGUGAAAGCGGGGGACCGUAAGGCCUCGCGCUGAUGGAGCGGCCGAUGUCGGAUUAGCUAGUUGGUGGGGUAAAGGCUUACCAAGGCAACGAUCCGUAGCUGGUCUGAGAGGACGACCAGCCACACUGGGACUGCGACACGGCCCAGACUCCUACGGGAGGCAGCAGUGGGGAAUUUUGGACAAUGGGCGCAAGCCUGAUCCAGCCAUGCCGCGUGCGGGAAGAAGGCCUUCGGGUUGUAAACCGCUUUUGUCAGGGAAGAAACGGUCUGAACUAAUACUUUGGGCUAAUGACGGUACCUGAAGAAUAAGCACCGGCUAACUACGUGCCAGCCGCCGCCGUAAAAC